CCAAUAGCGUAUAUUAAAGUUGUUGCAGUUAAAAAGCUCGUAGUUGAAUUUCGGGGUCAGUAGGCUGGUCGUGCCACAGGUAUGUACUGGUCUCACUGAUUCCUCCUUCCUGAAGAACCGUAAUGCCAUUAAUUUGGUGUUGCGGGGAAACAGGACUGUUACUUUGAAAAAAUUAGAGUGUUUAAAGCAGGCUAACGCUUGAAUACAUUAGCAUGGAAUAAUGAAAUAGGACGAUCGAUCCUAUUUUGUUGGUUUCUAGGAUUGACGUAAUGAUGAAUAGGGAUAGUUGGGGGCAUUAGUAUUAAAUUGUCAGAGGUGAAAUUCUUGGAUUUAUUGAAGACUAACUACUGCGAAAGCAUUUGCCAAGGAUGUUUUCAUUAAUCAAGAACGAAAGUUAGGGGAUCGAAGACGAUCAGAUACCGUCGUAGUCUUAACCAUAAACUAUGCCGACUAGGGAUCGGAUGAUGUUAAUUUUUUAAUGACUCAUUCGGCGCCUUACG
rnacentral:rRNA from 1 species